GACCUUUGCCAUUUGAAGGUGACGCCUGGAGAGCCUUCAGGAAGGGCCGAGGAGUUGCUGCAGAGCCCGCGAUGACGGCGGCGGCCUCCGAGCGUGGCCGUAGCGUGCGGCCCGAGGAGCCGGGCGUUCUUAGCAGAAGGCUGACCAAGAGACCAGAGACCGGUGACUGCGGAAAAUUCCCAGCGGGUGAGGCGGCCUUCCUUGGCAGCGGAGGCGGAUUGUCAUCCCCGGACGUCCAAGAGAUAAGUGGAGGGUUACGAGCCCCCUGAGAGGGGGACGAAAGCGAGGUGCUGGGAGGGCCUUUGGAGUGGCAGCUUUGGAGGCGGGGUUGUGCAGGAGGUGGCCCCUUCGGCCACGUAAAGGAAGAGUUACCCGGUGCUGAGGUGCUCAGGGCAGAGCAGUCCCGGUGCGUGUCACUUGUGUCACUUGUCUAUGGUGCCUUCUGUGUGUAUCGUGCCUUCUGUGUCUUUUGCCUCGUGCCCCACAAAGGAUUAUCCGAAGCCCAGGUGUCCAUCUUUGCCACUGAGAUCUCUGUGUUCCUCGGCCCAGUGCGUGUUCCUUCAAAGCCUUGACUCAGGAGGCUGGACAGGCAACGGCGUAGCAUCUCUCUUAAGACAUCUGACCGGAUGGUUCUAUUCAGGUCUUGUUCUGAGCUGUUCUCGACAGCUGUGCAUGGCAACGAUCCCUCCCUUCUAGCUGGUUAGGACUUGUACAAAUUCCAGGAUAGGGGGAGAUUCUGACCGUAGGAUUCUGGGGCACCCAUCUUUGCCCCGCUUGCGAUAAGUCCUUCUGUUAGCGUCUUUGUUCCUCCAGGAUUCUCUGAGCCUGACGGGCUCACCGUCGCUCUCACCCAGGUCAUCUGGUCCCGCCUUCUCUGGGCCCUGGCUGGCAUUCUUCUCGCCGAGAGCUUUCUCUCCCUGUUGUGUCCCCUCGUUUGUCUUGUUCUGUGUCACGGGUGUCUGGGUAUUGGGCCCGAAGCUGCUCUGCCCUGCUGCACAGCCUGGUGUAGGUAUCAUAGGACGAGUCCUGGGGCCUGGGGAGUUGUAAUGCAGGGUGUAGCUGGACUCUAGAUGGCAUUUGUCGAUUGACACAAGAUGUCUGGAAGGCCUAAGUUAUCCUGCAGCCCUCUGACCCCUGUCCUCCCAUUCUUUCAGGUGCUGGCAGAUGAAAUCCGUGGCGGAGCGCCCCGUGGAGGGUGAGUGGUUCCCCUGAGCAGGACAUAAAGCCGAACCUGAGGAGUCAAGGCGGUCCACGGGUAUCACGCCGAGACCCCGUCAGCGAGUGGCCGACAGACCCGGUUCGUCGCUCUCGUGGGAACUCGCUAAGCGGUACGGGGCUCUGUGAUGGUGCCGUGACCUUUGCCAUUUGAAGGUGACGCCUGGAGAGCCUUCAGGAAGGGCCGAGGAGUUGCUGCAGAGCCCGCGAUGACGGCGGCGGCCUCCGAGCGUGGCCGUAGCGUGCGGCCCGAGGAGCCGGGCGUUCUUAGCAGAAGGCUGACCAAGAGACCAGAGACCGGUGACUGCGGAAAAUUCCCAGCGGGUGAGGCGGCCUUCCUUGGCAGCGGAGGCGGAUUGUCAUCCCCGGACGUCCAAGAGAUAAGUGGAGGGUUACGAGCCCCCUGAGAGGGGGACGAAAGCAAGGUGCUGGGAGGGCCUUUGGAGUGGCAGCUUUGGAGGCGGGGUUGUGCAGGAGGUGGCCCCUUCGGCCACGUAAAGGAAGAGUUACCCGGUGCUGAGGUGCUCAGGGCAGAGCAGUCCCGGUGCGUGUCACUUGUGUCACUUGUCUAUGGUGCCUUCUGUGUGUAUCGUGCCUUCUGUGUCUUUUGCCUCGUGCCCCACAAAGGAUUAUCCGAAGCCCAGGUGUCCAUCUUUGCCACUGAGAUCUCUGUGUUCCUCGGCCCAGUGCGUGUUCCUUCAAAGCCUUGACUCAGGAGGCUGGACAGGCAACGGCGUAGCAUCUCUCUUAAGACAUCUGACCGGAUGGUUCUAUUCAGGUCUUGUUCUGAGCUGUUCUCGACAGCUGUGCAUGGCAACGAUCCCUCCCUUCUAGCUGGUUAGGACUUGUACAAAUUCCAGGAUAGGGGGAGAUUCUGACCGUAGGAUUCUGGGGCACCCAUCUUUGCCCCGCUUGCGAUAAGUCCUUCUGUUAGCGUCUUUGUUCCUCCAGGAUUCUCUGAGCCUGACGGGCUCACCGUCGCUCUCACCCAGGUCAUCUGGUCCCGCCUUCUCUGGGCCCUGGCUGGCAUUCUUCUCGCCGAGAGCUUUCUCUCCCUGUUGUGUCCCCUCGUUUGUCUUGUUCUGUGUCACGGGUGUCUGGGUAUUGGGCCCGAAGCUGCUCUGCCCUGCUGCACAGCCUGGUGUAGGUAUCAUAGGACGAGUCCUGGGGCCUGGGGAGUUGUAAUGCAGGGUGUAGCUGGACUCUAGAUGGCAUUUGUCGAUUGACACAAGAUGUCUGGAAGGCCUAAGUUAUCCUGCAGCCCUCUGACCCCUGUCCUCCCAUUCUUUCAGGUGCUGGCAGAUGAAAUCCGUGGCGGAGCGCCCCGUGGCGGGUGAGUGGUUCCCCUGAGCAGGACAUAAAGCCGAACCUGAGGAGUCAAGGCGGUCCACGGGUAUCACGCCGAGACCCCGUCAGCGAGUGGCCGACAGACCCGGUUCGUCGCUCUCGUGGGAACUCGCUAAGCGGUACGGGGCUCUGUGAUGGUGCCGUG